rnacentral:tRNA from 1 species
UCCCCGAUGGUCUAGUGGUCAUGAUUUCCGCUUGUCAAUAGACAAGUCGCGGGAGACCGGGGUUCGAUUCCCCGUCGAGGAG